rnacentral:rRNA from 1 species
GUGGGGAAUAUUGGACAAUGGGGGGAACCCUGAUCCAGCCAUGCCGCGUGUGUGAAGAAGGCCUUUUGGUUGUAAAGCACUUUAAGCGAGGAGGAGGCUACCGAGAUUAAUACUCUUGGAUAGUGGACGUUACUCGCAGAAUAAGCACCGGCUAACUCUGUGCCAGCAGCCGCGGUAAUACAGAGGGUGCAAGCGUUAAUCGGAUUUACUGGGCGUAAAGCGCGCGUAGGUGGCCAAUUAAGUCAAAUGUGAAAUCCCCGAGCUUAACUUGGGAAUUGCAUUCGAUACUGGUUGGCUAGAGUAUGGGAGAGGAUGGUAGAAUUCCAGGUGUAGCGGUGAAAUGCGUAGAGAUCUGGAGGAAUACCGAUGGCGAAGGCAGCCAUCUGGCCUAAUACUGACACUGAGGCGCGAAAGCGUGGGGAGCAAACAGGAUUAGAUACCCUGGUAGUCC